CCCAAGCAGAAGGACUGGCACCCGCCGGGAGGCUUCAUCCUGGGGCUGUGGGCGCUCAUUCUCAUGGUCUUCUUCAAGACUUAUGGCAUCAAGCACAUGAAAGCCAGGCUGGUGCCCACCCUCCGGCUUCCGGGGUUGCUCCUGGACUGUUCUGGCCAGGCUCUAGGCCAGGGCCCUCCCUCUGCCCAUGGGGCCGGCCUUCCCUGUCCCUCAUCCUCAAGCUCUCGGCCGGUCUCAUGGCUCGUUCCCCGAACAGAUUCUUUCCCUCUUGGGUCACUCUGUGCUGGCCUUCUGUCCAGUCUCGCCUCUGCAUGUAGCUCUGGCUGGUGUGGAUCCCGCAGGCUCCAGGCGAUGCCACCGGGCGAGGGGGCCUAUGCCAGCGGGUGAGGGGGCCGCCCUGGCCCAGGGCAGGGGCCUCCCAGGUGCCCGAGGCUCGACAUUCGAGGUGCUGCCGGCCGUCUCGGGGACACGGAGGAGCAACAGGACGGCAGAGCGUCUGCCCUGAUCCAUGGUGUUCAGGUGGUCACUGGGGAGGGGGAAGGGGAGGGACACAGUUCUCCCCUUGCCCACUGCCCUGAGGGCAGGGGGUUCCUCCUGGUUGAAGGGGGCACAGCUUUUUGUUUCUUUACAAGUUUUGUGGAUCAUUGUUGCCAAGAUGUGUUUUCAGAUUCCAAAAUAAAACCUGCAGAUACGGGGA